rnacentral:rRNA from 1 species
AUUGAACGCUGGCGGCAGGCCUAACACAUGCAAGUCGAACGGUAACAGGAAGCAGCUUGCUGCUUCGCUGACAAGUGGCGGACGGGUGAGUAAUGUCUGGGAAACUGCCUGAUGGAGGGGGAUAACUACUGGAAACGGUAGCUAAUACCGCAUAACGUCGCAAGACCAAAGAGGGGGACCUUCGGGCCUCUUGCCAUCGGAUGUGCCCAGAUGGGAUUAGCUAGUAGGUGGGGUAACGGCUCACCUAGGCGACGAUCCCUAGCUGGUCUGAGAGGAUGACCAGCCAAACUGGAACUGAGACACGGUCCAGACUCCUACGGGAGGCAGCAGUGGGGAAUAUUGCACAAUGGGCGCAAGCCUGAUGCAGCCAUGCCGCGUGUAUGAAGAAGGCCUUCGGGUUGUAAAGUACUUUCAGCGGGGAGGAAGGCGAUAAGGUUAAUAACCUUGUCGAUUGACGUUACCCGCAGAAGAAGCACCGGCUAACUCCGUGCCAGCCGCCGCGGUAA